ACACACUCAUAUGUUUCACUCUCAGGACACUAAAAAUCUCACUCUCAUGAUUCUCACACGGAUAAAUUGGAAUUCUAAUCGCACUAAUCCCUACUUCUUAUACUCCUCCUCUUAAAUUUCAUAAUCUAACUUCAGAAGAACGUAAUAUUUUCAGUGCAUUAGGGUUUCGUUAGGUAACGUUGGUGUGAUUGCUGAAGAUUUUGGAUGAGCGAGGCAGCUUAAAGGAUCCGGCCUAUUGGAGUGAUACGAGAUAUUGCGGCGAACAGCUUGAAGGAUGGCAAAUGAUACUAAAGCUAGUUGCAAAGCUAAGGAUGAGGAAACCAAUGGUUCAAAAAGGGAAAAACAUUGUUAGCAGAUCAUCAUCUAGUUCAGGUAGUGCGCCUGAUACAUCUGCUCUAAGAAGGUCAGCCAGAGAAACAUCAUCAAAGAAAAGCAUGGCUCCAAGCCCUUCAAGUACUAGGAAGUCUGAACGUCUUGAGAAUCGGACCCCUACAACUCCUGCAGUCAUGAGGAAAUCCGGGAGAGUUGAGAAGCAAAGCAUGUUGAGUCCUUUGAGAAGGUCUAAGAGGGGUAAGAAUCAGUCAUCAUCCAGUUCUUUUGGUUCAAAGAAGUCUGGUAAAAGCUUGGGCUCAUCAGUUAUGAAAAAAAAGCACAGGAAAGAGAAGAGUGUGAAACUGUUGACUCUUGAACCUAAUGAAAUCGGCUACAGUGAGAAACAUAUUAUCAAAGCUGUUCAGGUUGAAACAAAGAUAACUGAUGCUCGUGUUUACAGGUCAUUGUUCAAACAGCAACAAAAGAAAGCUAAUCUGGAAGGUUUUUGUGAGGAGACGAAGAACAAGAAGGCUAAGUCAUCUCAAGGAUAUUGCAGCAAUCUCAGAGCUAGUGCUUCUGAGAACGUUGAUGGGGGUGGUGACUGCAGUCAGAGGGAGGUAGAGGAAUUGAUUGAAGAGUGCAUUUUGAAAGAUUCUGAGAAAAAAAUGUUAGGAAAUUCCGUUUUGUCAGCUGGAGGUUCACCUGAGUUUGAUAAUAAUCAUCUGGACUUUGUCAACUAUCUUUUAGAGUGCUGGCACAGGGGAGAGAAUGUUGUUCUUAUUGAUGAUCAGGAACAAAUUGCAAAGGUGAUUUAUUUUAUUUUGUCAAUAUCAUCCAAUGCCACUUGGCCAUUUCUUAUCAUCACGACUUCUGCUGCACUUCAUUCAUGGGAAGAAGGGCUAUUUCGUUUGGCGCCAUCUCUAUAUGCUGUGGUUUAUCAUGGAAACAAAGACAUACGGAAAAGUAUUAGGACGUUGGAGUUUUACAGUGAAGGAGGUUGCAUUAUGUUUCAAAUACUUAUAACCUCACCAGAAGUUAUUAUCGAGGAUCUAAAUAUGCUUGAAUCAAUGAAAUGGGAAGCCAUAAUAGUUGAUGAGUGCCAACGCUCCAGAAUUUAUUCACAUUUUAAACAAAUUAAGCUGCUAAGCACUGCUAUGCGGCUUCUCCUUGUAAAUGGUCAGCUUAAGGAUGGCAUCACUGAGCACUUGCUGUCUCUGCUUGUUCAGCAGAGUGAUCCGGAUGGUAGUGAAUGCUUGGUGAUUGAUUCCAGCCAUAAGACUGGCAUUUUUAAGGAAAGGCUGUCACAAUACAUUGCAAAUGGUUGCAAACCAGAUUCCUCAAGGCUUAAAGAGUACUGGGUUCCUGUACAGUUAUCCAUCAUGCAGCUUGAGCAGUAUUGUGCCAUUCUACUUUUGAACUCCUUAUUACUUUGCUCAUCCUCAAAGAAUGAUCUUGCUGGUUCCCUACAUGAUAUUCUUAUUUCUGCUCGAAAGUGCUGUGAUCAUCCCUACAUCAUGGAUCCAUCGCUACAAAUUUCAUUAACAAAAGACAGUAAAGAAGCUGACAUUUUAGAUAUUGGAAUAAAAGCUAGUGGCAAGCUACAACUCCUGGAUGCAAUGCUUUUCAACAUAAAAGAGAGGGGAUUAAGAGUGCUAGUUCUUUUUCAGUCUAGUGGAGGUUCUGGAAAGGAUAAUGUUGGAGAUAUUUUAGAUGACUUUAUACGUCAAAGAUUUGGCAAGGGUUGUUAUGAACGUGUUGAUGGGCAUGUACUCCCUUCAAGGAAGCAAGCUGCUUUGAAAAACUUCAACAAUCUUCAGGAAGGGAGGUUUGUGUUCUUAUUAGAAACCCGUGCUUGUAGUCCCAGCAUAAAACUUUCAUCUGUGGAUACUGUUAUCAUAUUUGCCAGCGAUUGGAAGCCAAAUACUGAUAUAAGGAACCUGCAAAAAAUAACGCUUUAUUCAGAGUCUGAACAGAUAAAUAUAUUUCGUCUAUACUCUUCUUGUACUGUGGAAGAAAAAGUUUUAAUUGUUGCAAGGCAAGAUAAGACACUUGAUAGAAAUUUACAGAGGAUAAACCAGGGUGCUAGUCACAUGCUUCUGAUGUGGGGGGUUUCAUAUCUGUUUGACAAAUUGUCAGAGUUUAAUUGUGGCAAUGACCCUGCCUCCAGUGGAACAUUGUUGUCUGAGCAGUCACAUAUGAAAGAUGUUAUACAGGAGUUCUUAACCAUAGUAACUCAGAAGGGAAAAGACAAGAAUCUAAUUAACUCUAUAAUUUUGAAUGUUAAACAAAAUCAAGGAAGUUAUACUACUAAUCUUCCAUUGCAUGGUGAGCCAAAAAUUCAAUUGUUGGAUGAAGAGCUGCCUCAUGUAUUUUGGGAAAGGUUACUUAAGGGAAAACAGCCACAGUGGAAAUAUAGUUCUGGUUUGUUUCAGAGGAACAGAAAAAGGGUUCAAUAUUUUGAUGACACACAGAAGAACCCUGAAGUCGAGGCUGAUGAAGUUGUAAAGAAGCGCAAGAAAGUGGCCAUUGAUAACUCCAAUUCACCAUCUCUAAAAGCUGCUCCAAUAGGAACUUCUGGAGCUCCAGUGUGUAGCAUGUCUCAAUUCAUGCCAAGUUCAACUGGUUGUCUUACUACAACUGAUGCAAAUCAUGUUUCCAACUUCACCCAUUUGAAUAAUAAAUUAUCACUUCUACCAAAAGCUAAUACGGUUGAUUAUAAUGAAAGAAUGAAUUUACAUUAUUCUCGGAAGAGUCUCCAUCUCGUUUUGAAGCCAGAGAUAGAAAAACUUAGUGAAAUUUUACAACUCCCAGAGGAUGUCAAGGUCAUGGUUGACCAAUUUCUGGAAUAUGUACUGAAUAAUCACCAUGUCAGUAGAGAGCCAGCUAGCAUAUUGCAAGCAUUUUUGAUAUCCUUGUGUUGGACUGCAGCUUCCAUGAUUAAGUACAAACUUGAUCGCAAAGAAUCACUUGCACUGGCAAAACAGCAUUUGAACUUUUGCUGCACGAAGGAUGAGGCAGAUUUUGUUUAUUCAAAGUUGCGAUAUCUGAAGAAAGUAUUUCUUUAUCAUACAGGAAAUUUUAAGUUGGCUGGCUCUCCAAAAGCUGCAGAAUUUUCAACUAAAGAUCUCAGUACAAAUCAGUCAAAUGGAAGACCUUCACUGUCAACACCAUCUAACAUGCAAAAGGUUAGAAUAGAGGUUGAAAACCUGAGACCUAGUCAAGAAUUCUUCAUUGAUCAGGCCCUUUCCCAUCUAGGAUUGACACAGAAAGAUUACUCAGAAAACAUUGGAGAGAAAUGUGAUGAACAGAUGAACAAGCUAUUGCAGAGGCAACGAGAAGAAAGGGAAGAGUUCAAAAAAAAGUACGAGGAAGAAAAGGCAGAACUUGAGCUUAUGCAGAGAACAGAGGCAGCUGUUAUUCAUUUACACAGUAAUAGUUCAAUGAGAACAGAUAAACUCAAGGUACUGGAUAAUGUAUUUGCAAAAGAGUUCAGAGAGCUUAAACGGAAGAUGGAGAUACGCCUUAAUAAUGUUUUGGAAUUUCAACUGGCUACAAGGAACAAGUUGCAAGAGAGGAAGGCUCAUUGGAUUGGAGUGAAAUUGUCUGGAUUACUAAAUAAACCACUUGCAGAUGAGUCUGGAUAUGAUCAACAAAACGCUGCAACUUUGAAUUCUUGUUCCAAAGAACAGACUUCUGAACGAGCCCAAAGCAUGCCAGAUGGAGAGGUUCUAUUGGAAGCUCUUGAAACUGUGAGUUUGAAUGAGGAUGUAUUUUCUGGGGUAUUGUCUGCAUCUGAACCAAUGUUUGAUGGGGCUAGUUCCAGCAUGCUAGACAGAGAGGUUCCUUUGGAAAUGCCCCAGACUGCAAGUGUGAGGAAUAUUUCAGAGAAUAUUGUCUAUUUGAAUGCAUCUUCAGGUGAAGGACAAAUUCCUGUUACACAGGUUGCAGUGAGAGUCCUUGAGGCUAUCAGCUCUAGUGAUGGCCCAGAGAAUACCAUUCAUAAAUCAUCAUCUGAAAGUCGUAAUAGAGAUGCAUUAAUGGUGCCUGAUAGUGAAUUUCCCUUGGGAGUGACUGAGAUUGUCAGUUCCACUGGUGGCCUGGAGAAUGCUGCUUCUGCAAAUCCUUCACCAUCUGAAGGAUGUACUGUCAGAACAACUUCAUGCAUGGAUGGCAGAGAAGUUCUGUUGGAAGUGCCUGAAACCGCUUCUUUGGAAGCUGAGCAUGGUAACAGAGUUAUGGAGAAAGAUGGAAUAUCGGCUAUGGUAUCUGAUAAUGCCACUGAAGAAGAUCAGCAGAAUGGAUUGGUGUCUAUGCUUAAUCAAGAUUCUCAAUCUGAUAAUAUUAUUGCAGUCAACCAGCAAAAUGGAGAGGUUCUUUUAGGAGUGCCCCAAACCAAUGAAGUUGGCCUGCAGGAUGAGGAGGUUCCAUCAGGAGUUCAUGGAACUCCUGUAGAAGGGAGUGCUAGUAAUGGUGGAGAGAACACUGGUGUUUAUGUUACAGCCUUUUCUAUCGGUACUGGAGUUGAUCAGCUGGCUGGAGUGCUUCCAUCAGGAGGGUUUGAAACCGCUACUAGUGCAGAAUUGGAGGGUAGCCGCACUCAGCGAGAGAUUGACAGCAUACAUGCUGUAGCCUCAGAUACUAGUCAAUCAGCGGAAUCCUCUAGACUGCAAGAUGGAGUUGCACAAGUUUGUGAUAACCAGAUUGCUUUUCAACAAGUUGAUGCCUCAGCAUCCCAACCUCUUGUUGUAGCUUCUGGCCAAUCUCCUAAUGAUGCAUCUGUCACUGAGCAUCUGCUGGAAUUGUUACUAUCAACUGGCUCUCCUACUCCUAGUGGUUCACAGCCUGCAACUUCAUUUGCACAACUUUCACCUAUUGACUCGAUAGCUGUUGGUGGAUCAGGGAUGCAUAUUUCAAACAUGAGGGCUGCACCUGUUACCCCUGGAAUUAGUAAUCGUCCUGGAACUGCACUUGCUGUGCGAAUGCCUGUAUCUAUGUCUCAAGAUCCACUUCAAAAUGAGUUGGAUAGAUUAAGCAAAGAAACUGAAGAAAUCAUCAAGAUCCAUGAAGAUACAAAGCUGCAGUUGAAAUCUGAUUGCGAGAAGGAGAUAGUGGAGGUUGUAGCUCAAAUUCAUAAAAAACAUGAUAUUAAACUUCAGGAGAUAGAAUCUGAUUUCCAGUGUAAGAAGAAAGAGAUGAAUGACAAUCAAAACAAAGUUCUUAUGAACAAGAUAUUGGCUGAGGCUUUCAAGACCAAGUGCAUGGAUAGUAGGGCAUCUAGCACCCUUGGCAAGCAGCAAGAGAUCACCUCUAGUGCUGUGCAGCAGCUACUUCGGCAAUCUCAACCCACUGCUCAGAGGCCUCCUAUUGUUGCUUCAUCUGGUGUUUCUGCAGAUGGUCAUCAAACAAGUCCCUCACUUUCCCCUCCCUCCCCACCUCUAGAGGUUGUUCGUUGCUCAUCACUUUUAUCAGGCACCCCUACCAGACCACCACAUAUUGGUUCCAUCUCUCCUAUCACUAACAAUCUCCAACUUGGUAGUGGGAUUCGAGCUCCUGCCCCACACCUGCAACCUUUUAGACCUUCAGCAUCCAUAUCAACAACUGGUCUUUCUUCCUUUCUACAUGGGAUGCAAAGUCAACAAGUACCUUCAACUUCUCCCACGCUUUCUGAGAUUCCUUCACGAGCUCCAGCAUCUGUGCAACAAUCUGGUCCUCAGACGACGACAAAUUGUUGUGAAAGCAUGGGGGUCUCGCCUUCUAGCACAUAUCUCUCUGGACUUGAUUCGUUAAUGGAUGGAGGUUAUCAAACAAGUACAAAUGCAACUCAACCCUGCAGUUUUCCUCCAGUAACAAAUUUGAUUUCAAACCCAAACCAGUUGACCCAGCCAGAGCUUAGCAUGCUACAUAGUGUGAAUAGUGUGCUGACAAACCCAGCAAGUGAGGAAUUGCAGUUGUCUCCAAGCUUUUGUUAGUAGAGUUUCAUGCUGCCUAUAACUUUCAUCCUUAAAUCAUGGCACGCGUGUGUUGGGUAGCUGCUGCCUAAAAUCCUGAAAACCAUUCUCUUGGCUGCUGCGUUGUCAAUGAGGCAUUAUACUGUGACAAGAAAAGGUUGCAGUGUUGUUUAUUGUCCACCUCAGCCUACGGGACCUGUGCUGCUUGUUGGCUUUGGACUGUCCUUUCAAGCUUCCAGAGUUAUUUGUGGUCCAGCUCAGCCUACGAGAGUUGUUCUGUUGUUGGCUUUAGUAUGCCCUUUCAAG